AUGGCCAGCCGGUUCUCCAACGUCGACCCGGUGACGGAGGCCGACAUGCGGCGCCAAGGCCUCGACCCGCACGAGCUGGACCGGAGCACGGAGCAGCUCAUGUCGCUCAUCCACGGCAACCUCCCGGACCCGCCCGUCUCCACCACCGCCCGCCUCACCGCCUUCCGCGCGCGCCCCUCCGAUGGCGUGGACCGCAUCAGCCGCCUCUCCGACGCGCUCCUCCGCGACAUCGUCUCCCGCCUCCCCGUCAAGGACGCCGCCCGCACCGCCGCGCUCGCCGCGCGCUGGCGCGGGGUCUGGAGCUCGACGCCGCUCGUCCUCAUCGACACUCACCUGAUCUCCGGUGGCCGCACCCCUGGGCGCGCCAGCACGCCGGACGUCACCGCGGCCGUCUCCCGCAUACUCGCCGCGCACCAGGGGCCCUUCCGCUGCGUCCACCUCACCUGCAGCCGCAUGGGCGCAUACCAGGCCCAGCUCAAGCGCUGGCUCCGUCUCCUCGCCGCCAGGGGCGUCCAGGAGCUCGUCCUCGUCAACCGCCCGUGGCCACGCGAGGUGCGCCUGCCCAAGACGCUCUUCACCAUCUCCACCCUCACCCGCCUCUACAUCGGCGUCUGGAAGUUCCCGGACGCGGCCGGCCUCCAAGACGCCUCCAUCCCUCACCUCCGGGAGCUCGGCAUCUUCAGCGUCUCCGUGGAGGACGGGGACAUUGACGCCGUCGUCGCGAGGAGCCCCGCCCUCGAGAUCCUCAACAUCCAAGGGAGCAUGAAGGGGGUGCGUCUCCGCCUCGUCAGCAACAGCCUCCGGUGCGUGCAGAUACGUUCUUUCGCCAUGGAGAGCAUCGACGUGGUGAACGCCCCGCGUCUCGAGCGCCUCCUCGUGUCGGAGUGUCUCGACCCUGCCGGCGGAUCGUGCACCAGAAUCAAAAUUGGCCAUGUCCCCAAGCUGAAGUUACUGGGAUACCUGGAGCCAGGAAAAUUCGUGCUAGAGAUCCAAGACACCGUCAUCAUGGCUGGGAUUAAGACAAAUGCAAGCAUGAUGGUCACAAGCGUGAAGACCCUUAGUUUGAGGUUGCGCUUCGGAGUCUAUGAUGAUGUCAAGAUGGUGCCCGCCUUCCUCAAAUGCUUCCCCAAUGUUGAGGCGCUGCAUAUUACGUCUGAAAAAUGUGAUCAACUCACUGGCAAGUUCGACCUCGAGUUCUGGGAAGAGGUUGGUCCCAUCGUAAGUGUGCUCUUGCGCCUCAAAGUGAUCACGUUUCGGGAGUACCGCGCGAAGCAAGAUGAGCUUGCCUUCCUCCAGUACAUCUUCCAGAAUGCAAUGGUGCUCAAGUAUGCACAUGUUCAGAUGGUCAAUCAUAGAUUCACUUCACUGUCCAUUGAUGAGAUGACCUACACCAUAAACCAUAUGCCUGAUAAUAAAUGGGCCAGUAAAUUCAUCUUUGCUAUCGGUGGGUCUCAUGGUCCUGAAGGAGGUGAACCUUUGGCUUUUCAGUGA
rnacentral:rRNA from 1 species